CUUUAUUUUCAUGAACGUAGCAGUUUUCGAGCAAAUUUUAAAUAGCACACAUUCCUCCCAACAAAGUGCAGAAAGCUAUACACAGUGCUGGGACAAGGCCUGAAUUGAUCUGUGGCUGGUCAACCUCUCCAUACUUUUCACAUACAUGUGUAUUUACUUAUGUAUAUAUUCACAUACAUAUUCCCAUGUGUAUAAAACAAACACGUUUUGCACCAAAAGUUCGAAUUGAGUGUUACUGAAAAUGGUUUCUCCAAUGAAGAAAAGUGAUUUAAAAACAACAAAAAAAAACUGAAUGCAAACUUACAAAAUUGAGGGUGAGCCAAGCGAGAGGAUUAAGGGUAUCUCAUGAUUUGAAUUGAUUGCCGAAGUUUGAACCCAACAGACGGAAAACCACCCAGCAUAUCUAUGUACAUACAUAUAUUUACAACCAUCACAAUAACAACCUUUCGCAUAUGCGGAUAUGUUGAUAUGUAUGUACAUAUGGAUAUAUCGAGUUAGUCGGAAGUCAUGAGGCGAAGGCAGUCUGCACACUUUUUUGAAAGCGCGACAUGGUAGCCACUAUCUACUCGAGUUUGGAUACUAUUGGAUUUGGCUUUGUCGUUGGAUUGGAUCACCUCGAAGAGACGCGUAAUAUAUGUAAAUCGUAACGUCUAAUGUCCCCUCAAAGCUGUAAAUUGGAUAGUCGGAUAUGUGACUUUAGUAUUGCUAGCGCCGAUUAUCUUCAACGGUUGUCUACAACUUGCCGCCAUACUAAAUAAUUUCACUAAAUUCUCAUAGUCUCGUCGAGUGUAUCUCUGUGUAGUGUAUACGCAAAGUGUUAUAUAUUUGGAUUUUGUGCGCUGUACGCUCAACUUGCGUUCUCAUCGUGAUAGCGAGUGCACUAACGUACCUAUACGUUUGUCUUACGUAAGGUGAAAGAUAGAUACAAUGUGUAACAUGUCUGAAAGAGGUAAAGCGAUAUCGCGAACGAAAACAAGUAAUGGCAAAUGAAAAUAUACUCAAAUUUACAUACAUACACAUGAGUAUGCUAGAUUUGAAAAAAAAGCGACCACUGCAAGAUUUGUGCUACAAUUAAUGGAAAAGUUUGCUGGAGAUGUGAUACAUUUGAAAAGAGCUUCAGCAGCGCAAUGGUUUCUCCUUUUUCAAUCGAAAAAAUAACAUUGUCGGCGCUAAGACAAAUUAAAAUGAAAAUGCCGAAUAGUUUCAGCAUCCACAAAAGUUUUCAUCUAAACGAUAUAUCAAAUGUACAUUAAUACUACAUAUCAGUCAGCAAGAGGAAUAGGAAGAAAAAAGCGUUAUAUGCUUUAAACGAACAUAAAAUAUUUUAUCAAAAUAAAAAUAAUAGUGUUUAGAAAUUUAUAUAUUUAUUUAAUGGCAUACACGUAUAAGAACCACUUGAAAACCGUCGGAACAAAUUUGAGGAGAAGAUUGAUCCCUUACAAGCUGAUGCUAGAAAAUUAUUAAAUAUAUCUCCUGGGAAUUAUUUUAAGACGUUUAACUAGAAGAUUUUCAAAUUGUGUACCUUAUAUUAUUUAUUAAUUUUGACAAAAACAUGUAGACUUUGGCCUAUCGAAUUUUAAACGAAAAGCACAAUAUAAAUUUAUGAAAUAAGUUUGCUUAGUUCAAUCUAUCAAUUCAAUAAAAAAAACACGUUUUUAUCAUUAAUUAUAAUA